rnacentral:rRNA from 1 species
CCUACGGGAGGCAGCAGUAAGGAAUAUUGGGCAAUGGAGGCAACUCUGACCCAGCCAUCCCGCGUGAAGGAUUAAGGCCCUAUGGGUUGUAAACUUCUUUUGUUUGGGAAGAAAUCUGGACAUUUAUGUGCAGUUGACGGUACCUUACGAAUAAGCACCGGCUAACUCCGUGCCAGC